rnacentral:rRNA from 1 species
UGGCCAGACUCCUACGGGAGGCAGCAGUGGGGAAUAUUGCACAAUGGGGGAAACCCUGAUGCAGCGACGCCGCGUGAGUGAAGAAGUAAUUCGUUAUGUAAAGCUCUAUCAGCAGGGAAGAAAAUGACGGUACCUGAGUAAGAAGCCCCGGCUAACUACGUGCCAGCAGCCGCGGUAAUACGUAGGGGGCAAGCGUUAUCCGGAUUUACUGGGUGUAAAGGGGGCGUAGACGGCAGUGCAAGUCUGGAGUGAAAGGCGGGGGCUCAACCCCCGGACUGCUCUGGAAACUGUGCGGCUAGAGUACUGGAGGGGCAGGCGGAAUUCCUAGUGUAGCGGUGAAAUGCGUAGAUAUUAGGAGGAACACCAGUGGCGAAGGCGGCCUGCUGGACAGUAACUGACGUUGAGGCUCGAAAGCGUGGGGAGCAAACAGGAUUAGAUACCCUUGUA